rnacentral:rRNA from 1 species
AGAGUUUGAUCAUGGCUCAGGAUGAACGCUGGCGGCGUGCCUAAUACAUGCAAGUCGAACGGACAUUUCGCAAGGAAUGUGAGUGGCGAACGGGGUGAGUAACGCGUUGGUGACCUGCCCCGCAGUGGGGGAUACCAGUCCGAAAGGAUUGCUAAUACCCCAUGCGCCCCCUGGGAUUAGAGGCCCGGGGAGCAAAGGUCCGCAAGGAUCGCUGUGGGAGGGACCUGCGUCCCAUCAGCUGGUUGGUAGGGUAACGGCCUACCAAGGCGAUGACGGGUAGGGGACCUGAGAGGGUGGCCCCCCACAAUGGAACUGAAACACGGUCCAUACACCUACGGGUGGCAGCAGUAGGGAAUAUUGCAAAAUGGGCGCAAGCCCGAUGCAAGCAACGCCGCGUGCGCGAUGAAGGCCUUCGGGUCGUAAGGCGCUUUUCGAAGGGAUGAGGAAGGACAGCACCUUCGGAAUAAGUCUCGGCUAACUACGUGCCAGCAGCGGC